AUAGUUCUUGAACUCAAGGAGCUUCUGGCACCCCUGGGAACAAUUUUCACACCCACAGAGUCACCUGGAGGGGGACGCAGAAGGAACACAGGUGAAUGUGACUUGCUCUGGCAGAGACAAGUUGUCUUAAGCAGAAAGAAAGCCUCUGAUCAAGGUCAGGGAACAAUUUUCCCUACAGACUCGACUCCACAAACCCGCCUGUCAGAUAUUUUUAGAAGAUUUCAUCCCGGCUGCCACGUGAGGUAGCACCGGGCACCAUGCAGUUGCACCGGAACUGUCGGUCUAGGAAUUGCUACCCACCGGUUCCAAAUAACGUCCACCGAACCGGCCAGGAGCCUCCAGGAAGUCUCUGAUCAGUUAGUUCCAAGUCACCCCAGACCAGGUAGACUCCCUGGCAUCAGCAGUUCUCCAACAUCCUAGAGCCUGGAUCUGCUCACAGCAAGGGAAGGGAAACACUGUACUUUCUUCAGGAGACUUGCUAUUUCCAGAUCAGCAAGUCUGGCCAUGUCCGAGAGGGCAUCACCCAACUCUGGGAACAAGCCACCCAUCUACGCUCUCAAAAUGAGAGAUUCUGGUUCAACAGCCUGUGGGGACGCUGGAUUACACCCCUCAUGGGCCUCCUCACUGCAGUCCUCCUAUGAUUAGCCAUUGCCCCUUGUGUCAUCCAAUUCCUGCCCUCAUUUAUUCAAGAAAAGAUAAAAAGGUAUCAGCUGCAGUUGUAACCCAAUGGCUACCACUCCCCUCUCCCUCUCCCAAUGUUACCCCCAACCCGUGUAGUCCUAACACCUGACUCAUCGCACUGAGGACAAUUCCGACCCUACCCAGUGAGAAGCAGUUCUGGAGACUGACCUUCAACCCCAUCAGCCUUGGUAACAAGAGUUGGGAAUGUUAGGGGCCCUCCCCACUUCCCCUACUUCCCUUCCCAGACCUAAAGGUCUACCUGGCCCCACCCCCAAGAGGUCCAGUGGAAAGAUCCUAGCCAGCCAAAACCUUCCAGCAACCUGUGGAAUCUUCCUCCCCUACAUCCAGUAUAAACACAAGCUCCCAAGCCCUCUCGGUGCACACACCAUCUUGGACCAGGCGAAUCUCUGUCCGCUUUCGUUAAACUUGGCCUGAACCUCUCCUGGUCUUGUCACACCCCGAACCCUUUUCACGUGGGCAUGGGUCUGGGACAUGAUCCUCAAAUCUGUCUCAGAAUAAACCUCUUUAAAUUAUUUGGCAGAGUUUGGCUUUUCUUCCUUUGACACAGUCCUUCCCCAGGUCAGGGAGGGCUGCCCGAGGGUAUGGUUGGCUGUUCUGGGGCACGAUUUCCCUUCCUGUUUCUGGGUGGGAUCACAAGUACACUCUGUGAUCACUUUGGCAGGCUUUGUUUGUUUGCUUUUGUUGUUGUUGUUGUUG